rnacentral:rRNA from 1 species
UUAGGAAUUUUGCACAAUGGGGGAGACCCUGAUGCAGCAACGCCGCGUGGGCGAUGAAGGUCUUCGGAUCGUAAAGCCCUUUUCUGAGGGAAGAGCAAGGACGGUACCUCAGGAAUAAGCCUCGGCUAACUACGUGCCAGCAGCCGCGGUAAUACGUAGGAGGCAAGCGUUGUCCGGAUUUAUUGGGCGUAAAGAGCGCGUAGGCGGCUCGGCAAGUUGGGUGUGAAAUCCCCUGGCUUAACUGGGGGGGGUCAUCCGAUACUGCUGGGCUUGAGGUCGGCAGAGGAAGGUAGAAUUCCCGGUGUAGUGGUGAAAUGCGUAGAUAUCGGGAGGAAUACCAGUGGCGAAGGCGGCCUUCUGGGCCGAUCCUGACGCUGAGGCGCAAAAGCGUGGGGAGCGAACCGGAUUAGAUACCCGGGUAGUCCACGCAGUAAACGAUGGACACUAGGUGUGGGGGGUAUCGGACCCCUCCGUGCCGAAGCUAACGCAUUAAGUGUCCCG